rnacentral:rRNA from 1 species
GAUGAACGCUGGCGGCGUGCCUAACACAUGUAAGUCGAACGGUCGUAGCAAUACGAUAGUGGCGCACGGGUGAGGAACACGUAGCUAACCUGCCCUCGAGUGUGGGAUAACGUCCCGAAAGGGAUGCUAAUACCGCAUAAGCUCACGCUGAGUAAGUAAGUGUGAGAAAAGAUUAAUCGCUUGAGGAGGGGGCUGCGGCCCAUCAGGUAGUUGGUGAGGUAACGGCUCACCAAGCCGACGACGGGUAGGGAACCUGAGAGGGUGGUUCCCCACACUGGCACUGAAACACGGGCCAGACACCUACGGGUGGCAG